rnacentral:misc_RNA from 1 species
AAGUCGUAACAAGGUCUCCGUAGGUGAACCUGCGGAGGGAUCAUUAACACUAUUUGGCUUGUCACAAUGUUUCACGACAUUGAGUCAAGUUCAAAUUUCCACACACAUUGUGAACUAGUUGGUUACUUCCGUAAAAAAGAAGUAACUGGCCUUACAUAACUGCCUCGAGGGUAAGGUUGCCGACGCGACGAGUGAACGCUUUUCAUAGUACCAAAAGUACUAUGGGGAUCGUGGCUCCGCUUCCGUCCCUCGACGUGGUUCAUUUUGGGAGAUGUGACACUCACACGUCUCGGCCCCCUUUAGCCAUCACCAUUAAACCAAUUGACUGAUUUAGUUGAUCUACCGAAAGGUAACGAUCUUCGUAUAUAAAACUAAGCACAACUCUUAGCAACGGAUAUCUUGGUUCUC